UACGGAGGGUGCAAGCGUUAUCCGGAUUCACUGGGCUUAAAGGGUGCGUAGGCGGGUUGGUAAGUCCGUGGUGAAAUCCCCAAGCUUAACUUGGGAACUGCCGUGGAUACUAUCAAUCUUGAAUAUCGUGGAGGUAAGCGGAAUAUGUCAUGUAGCGGUGAAAUGCUUAGAUAUGACAUAGAACACCAAUGGCGAAGGCAGCUCGUUACGCGAAUAUUGACACUGAUGCACGAAAGCGUGGGGAGCAAACAGG
rnacentral:rRNA from 1 species